rnacentral:rRNA from 1 species
GGAAUAUUGGACAAUGGUGGGAACACUGAUCCAGCCAUGCCGCGUGCAGGAAGACUGCCCUAUGGGUUGUAAACUGCUUUUUUACGGGAAGAAACAUCCGCUCGUGAGCGGACUUGACGGUACCGUGGGAAUAAGGAUCGGCUAACCCCGUGCCAGCAGCCGCGGUAAUACGGAGGAUCCGAGCGUUAUCCGGAAUCAUUGGGGUUAAAGGGUCCGUAGGCGGACGUGUAAGUCAGUGGUGAAAUCCGGCAGCUCAACUGUCGAACUGCCAUUGAUACUGCUAGUCUUGAAUUACUAUGAAGUGGUUAGAAUAUGUAGUGUAGCGGUGAAAUGCUUAGAUAUUACAUGGAAUACCAAUUGCGAAGGCAGAUCACUAAUAGUAUAUUGACGCUGAGGGACGAAAGCGUGGGUAGCGAAC